GAUAACCAUUCUUUCCCCGUGCCUUGUUCCACUCCAAGAACAUCAUUCUUCCCAUCACUUAAGAUUCUUAAGAUCCGAGGAUGUCCCAAACUCCAAGGAUGGUGGAGGACAAAGAAUGAGAACCAAGGAUCAACCGCUGAGUUGCCUUGCUUUCCUUGCCUUUCCAAGUUAGAAAUCGAGGACUGCCAAAACUUAACCUCCAUGCCGCUCUUUCCAUUUCUCGACGACGAUUUGACUUUGAAAGGUACUAGUGUAAGGCCUUUGCAACAAACAUUGAAGAUGAAGAUGACCAAGGCUAGCAUGACAUCAGAAGCAUCAUCAUCGAGAAGCACAUGUCAUUCUUAUUCCUAUUCUUCGACUGCCCUUCCUCUCUCCAAUUUGAAGCGCUUGACUCUUGAUUCCAUUAAUGGUCUAGAAGGUCUAUCAGAGGAGUUUCUGCAAAAUCUCACUUCGCUUGUCUACUUACAAUUUAAAUAUGAUUGUCAAUUGCUGCCGCAAAAGAUGAACAGCCUCACCUCUUUACAAGAAUUGCAUAUUGAGUAUUGUCCUGAUCUGAGGGUUUUACCGGACUGGAUACCAAAUCUCACUUCUCUCAUAACACUUACAAUUUGGUAUUGCCCUGAAUUACAAUACUUGCCAGAAGGGAUGCAUCGCCUUGCCUCUUUACAACGAUUGUCUAUUCGAGGAUGUCCCCAAUUGUCAAAAAGAUGUAAAAAGGAGACCGGAAUCCAUUGGCCUCACAUUGCUCACAUCCCAUCUAUUGUAAUUGAUGGGCGAUGAAUUCAAUGUUGAUCAUACUGUAUAGUUUUUCCAGUGAUGGUGAGGACCUGGAGGAGAUAGAUGUGACGUGAAUAUUCUCAUGGAGUUGAUGAAUAGAUUAUUGUCAGUAGUUUCACUUCCCCUGUUUUUAUGCAUGGAUCAAUGCAAAGUCAUCUCAUAUACAAUGAGACAACAUUGGAUUUUCGUGUCAUAUCUUUUCAGAAGCUAAACCAAAAAUAAAUGGAAAACGAUCGUGAGACAGAUUGCUGCUGUCACAGAGAUUCUAAGUAAUUGAAACACUGGUGAAAUAUGGAAUGAAGUAUUAACCUCAGAAUAUUGUUUUUUCCCCAGUUUCCCUGAGGAUUUGCAACUACAAGUUUGUUAGAGGGCUUAUCUCCACUCAAGACUCUUGAGCUGAAAGCUAGAAAUAAUAGAAAACAAUGUGAAAGUCUACUUGUACAUGUCCCGUUGUAUCCUUUGUGACGAGGAGAUUUUGCUAUGGGUAAUGUUUCCUACUCUUCCAGUUGUAGGAACUUGCUCUUGUAAAGAAUAUA